UAGUUGUCUUCCUCCCCAGCUUGUUCUCAGCUGCACAGUAAUACUCUCCAGAGUCAGAGGACUGGAUGGAGCUGAAGACAAGCUGUGGUUCUUCACUGAGCAGAGUUUGGUUCUCCUUGUACCAGGUGUAUUUAGCUGCUGGGUUAGCAUCACUGCUGCAGGUCAGAGUCACUGAACUGCCCUCCACUAUCUCAGCAGAGGGACUCACUGACACAGAGGGAAGCUUUGGAGCAUCUGGAGAAGUAUUUGACAAAGUGGAUGUCCAUAGUGCUGAUUCUGGAUCUGUCCCAGGUCUGAAUCCUGUUUGUUGAAACUGACAGCCAAUAACAAGCCUUUAAUCAUU